rnacentral:rRNA from 1 species
GGGGAGCAAUCCCUGAGUACAGUGGCGUACGGGUGAGUAACACGUGGAUGAUCUACCUUCUGGUGAGGAAUAACCCUGGGAAACCGGGGCUAAUACCGCAUAAGCUCGAGAGAGGAAAGUCGCAAGACGCCGGAAGAGGAGUCCGCGGCCGAUUAGCUAGUUGGCAGGGUAAAAGCCUACCAAGGCGACGAUCGGUAGCCGGCCUGAGAGGGCACACGGCCACACUGGCACUGAAACACGGGCCAGACUCCUACGGGAGGCAGCAGUGGGGAAUCUUGCACAAUGGGGGCAACCCUGAUGCAGCGACGCCGCGUGAGCGAUGAAGCCCUUCGGGGCGUAAAGCUCUUUCGGCAGGAACGAUAAUGACGGUACCUGAAGAAGAAGCUGCGGCUAACUACGUGCCAGCAGCCGCGGUAAUACGUAGGCAGCAAGCGUUGUUCGGAGUUACUGGGCGUAAAGAGUGCGUAGGCGGUGUCGAAAGUUUGGCGUGAAAUCUCCCGGCUUAACUGGGAGGGUGCGCCGAAAACUGCGAUGCUGGAGUGUGGGAAAGGCAAGCGGAAUUCCUGGUGUAGCGAUGAAAUGCGUAGAUAUCAGGAGGAACACCGGCGGUGUAGACGGCUUGCUAGACCAUAACUGACGCUGAGGCACGAAAGCGUGGGUAGCAAACAGGAUUAGAUACCCUGGUAGUCCACGCCCUAAACGAUGCAUACUUGGUGUGGGCAGUUCAUUCUGUCCGUGCCGG